AUAAAAAGACGCUCUGAUUGAUGAGAUGAACAAAUUCAAACACAAAGGUCUUACCUUGUCUUUGUUUAUAUAUAUAAUUACUCCAAUGGAUGAAACGAUUUAAUUGUUUAUUUUUGAGUCAUGUAGGUUUAUUUAGUGAUUAGUAAUUUGCGGAUAUGAAUGGUUUGGAUUUCGAAGGAUUCGCGAGCAUUGUUUGUGCCAUCCUUUAUCAUCAAACUCUCACCUUUGCCAAUAACAACUAUGAUCUAGCUCAGGAAACUGAGCAUCUUUACUCUGUGGCUAUAGACUAUGAAGACUUCAAGCUAUGAAGAGUAUUACGUACAAUACAUUUUCAACAUUGAGUUUAUGCAACAAACUCAUCUGAAUACCAGAAAACUUUUAAAAACAAAAGAAACCUCAAGUUUAUGCUAGCUAGCAGUUUCCUUUGACUUUGAAUAACCAAACACUGGAUUGGCUAAAAUAACUUGAAAGAGUUAUUAGGUAUCGGUCACGUAUCUGAUGAAAUAAUUGAGGUACGCAAAAGUUAGGUAGAUCGUUAAUAAAAGAAAAGAAAAGAAAAUAAAAAUUGAAAGAGUGACAGCGCGUAAAGCGUCGACUUCAUGAGUUCCCCUGUAAACUUCACUGUUAAUUGUUUUGUCUCUGAUAUUUAUCUCUUCUUUCCUCAUCGAAUAAAAGGAUAUUCUUGUUCUUUAUAAGUUGAUGAAAGUCACAGCACCUUGUUACUCCUC